CCUGGAUCCGAAGCGCGGAUGAACGCCGGCGAUAACUAUGAACGAUUGUAGUUAUAAAAUUUGGCCAAAUGCUGGAAAACCCGAUUGUAUUUGUACGUACUCGUCAGAAAUAUUCUGGCAGUAAAAAUCGUACAGAUGAGAUAUCGCCAUUGAUAUCAUCGGACAAUCAGCAGGAAAGACUCUUAAAAAUUUAUAGUAUGAACAAUGAUAAAUGGCUACAGAAUAUUCCAGAUGAUAUAGGUCAUUAUUUGGCGGGAUUUGCAGACGGCGAAGGAAGCUUCAAUGUCAGCAUUAGACGCCGUGAAGACCAUACUUUGGGAUGGCAAGUAGCAUUAAUAUUUAAUGUUUCGCAGAAAGAAAGUUAUAUUCUUUCUCAAUUUAAGAAACAUUUAGGGUGUGGCAGAUUACAGGAACGUCAUGAUGGCGUUUGCUAUUAUGUUUGCUCCAACCCAAGCUCAAUAAUUGAUCGUAUAAUACCUUUUUUUAAAAAGUAUAGAUUACGCUCUCAAUCAAAACGAAAAAACUUUUCAAUUUUUUGCACAAUUUCAGAAUUGGUCGUAAAAAAGCGUCAUUUAACUCCUGAGGGACUGGAAGAAGUCAUUAGACUUCGUGAAAGUCUUAACGAAGGAAGAGGACGCAAGAAAAAAUACACUUUACAAGAUUAUAAGCAGUACAAGAAAGAGAAUCCUCAGAGACUAUACGCCAAACCACGGGCACUCCGAAAGGAGAGGCCAUAAUCGUGGAUGAUAUAGUCCGAUCUUAUAGGUAACUAUAAGUCCUAAUGGUGCUACUAUCCUUCCAUUAGGAAAGCAGAUUAAUUUAUUAAUCUGUAACAAGGGCAUGAAUCGUCCUAAGGUAGCGAAAUUCCUUGACGGGUAAGUUCCGUCCUGCACGAAUGGCAUAACAACAUGGAGACUGUCUCAACUGUGUACUCGGCGAAAUUGCAAGACGCGUGAAGAUGCGCGUUACCCGUAGUUAGACGAAAAGACCCCGUGAAGCUUUACUAUAGCUUGACAUUGGGUUAGGGAAUUGUUUGUGCAGCAUACGUGGGAGACUUUGAUGCUAAGACGCCAGUCUUAGUUUAGUCACCGGUGAGAUACCACGCUUGCAAUCCCCUAAUCCUAACCUCCUACCGUUAUCCGGUAGAGGGACAGUGUCUGGUGGGUAGUUUAACUGGGGCGGUUGCCUCCUAAAAUGUAACGGAGGCGUCUACAAAGGUUGGCUAAAUCCCGAUGGAAACGGGAUGGGUCCUGUAAACGGAUAAGCCAGCUUUACUGCAAGGCCUGCAAGCCGCGCAGUUGCGAAAGCAGAGGUUAGUGAUCCGACCGUACGAUGUAGGACGGCGGAAGCUCAACGGAUAAAAGUUACUCCGGGGAUAACAGGCUGAUCAGACCCAAGCGCCCACAGCGACGGUCUGGUUUGGCACCUCGAUGUCGGCUCAUCGCAUCCUGGGGCUGAAGAAGGUCCCAAGGGUCCGGCUGUUCGCCGGUGAAAGCGGUACGCGAGCUGGGUUCAGAACGUCGUAAGACAGUUUGGUCUCCUAUCUACUAUGGGCGCUGGAAUAUUGAAUAGGCCGAUUCCUAGUACGAGAGGACCGGAAUCGACGCACCUCUGGUGUACCAGUUGGACUACCAAGUCCAUGGCUGGGUAGCUACGUGUGGUUUGGAUAAGUGCUGAAAGCAUCUAAGCACGAAGCCGUCUAUGAGAUUAAUAUUCAUUAAGACCCCACCGAGACUAGGUGGUUGAUAGGCUAUAUGUGUAAGUCCUGAGAGGGAUUUAGCAAAGUAGUACUAAUGGUCAUUCAGCUAUCACG
rnacentral:rRNA from 1 species